UGGGGGAUAACUACUCGAAAGAGUAGCUAAUACCGCAUAAGAUCUCAGGAUGAAAGCAGGGGACCGCAAAGGCCUUGCGCUAACAGAGCGGCCGAUGGCAGAUUAGGUAGUUGGUGGGAUAAAAAGCUUACCAAGCCGACGAUCUGUAGCUGGUCUGAGAGGACGACCAACCACACUGGGACUGAGACACGGCCCAGACUCCUACGGGAGGCAGCAGUGGGGAAUUUUGGACAAUGGGCGCAAGCCUGAUCCAGCAAUGCCGCGUGCAGGAUGAAGGCCUUCGGGUUGUAAACUGCUUUUGUACGGAACGAAAAAGCUCUGGUUAAUACCUGGGCCCAUGACGGUACCGUAAGAAUAAGCACCGGCUAACUACGUG
rnacentral:rRNA from 1 species